rnacentral:rRNA from 1 species
GACGAACGCUGGCGGCGUGCUUAACACAUGCAAGUCGAACGGAAAGGCCCUGCUUUUGUGCGGUGCUCGAGUGGCGAACGGGUGAGUAACACGUGAGUAACCUGCCCUUGACUUUGGGAUAACUUCAGGAAACUGGGGCUAAUACCGGAUAGGAGCUCCUGCUGCAUGAUGGGGGUUGGAAAGUUUCGGCGGUUGGGGAUGGACUCGCGGCUUAUCAGCUUGUUGGUGGGGUAGUGGCUUACCAAGGCUUUGACGGGUAGCCGGCCUGAGAGGGUGACCGGCCACAUUGGGACUGAGAUACGGCCCAGACUCCUACGGGAGGCAGCAGUGGGGAAUAUUGCACAAUGGGCGGAAGCCUGAUGCAGCAACGCCGCGUGCGGGAUGACGGCCUUCGGGUUGUAAACCGCUUUCGCCUGUGACGAAGCGUGAGUGACGGUAAUGGGUAAAGAAGCACCGGCGAACUACGU